GCGCGCAUAGCUCAGCUGGUUAGAGCGCAACACUGAUAAUGUUGAGGUCCCUGGUUCGAUUCCAGGUGCGCGCACCA
rnacentral:tRNA from 1 species